AGCAGCCGCGGUAAUUCCAGCUCCAAUAGCGUAUAUUAAAGUUGUUGCAGUUAAAAAGCUCGUAGUUGAAUUUCGGGAUCAAUAUGUUGGUCGUGCCUCGGUACGUACUAGCAUAUUGGUUUCUCCUUUCUGAAGAACCAUGAUGCCAUUUAUUUGGUGUCGUGGGGAAUCAGGACUGUUACUUUGAAAAAUUAGAGUGUUUAAAGCAGGCUCACGCUUGAAUACAUUAGCAUGGAAUAAUGAAAUAGGACGUUUGAUUCUAUUUUGUUGGUUUCUAGGAUCGACGUAAUGAUUAAUAGGGAUAGUUGGGGGCAUUAGUAUUCAAUUGUCAGAGGUGAAAUUCUUGGA
rnacentral:rRNA from 1 species